rnacentral:misc_RNA from 1 species
GAUGAAGAACGCAGCGAAAUGCGAUAAGUAAUGUGAAUUGCAGAAUUCAGUGAAUCAUCGAAUCUUUGAACGCACAUUGCGCCCGCCAGUAUUCUGGCGGGCAUGCCUGUUCGAGCGUCAUUACAACCCUCAGGCCCCCGGGCCUGGCGUUGGGGAUCGGCGGAGCCCCCCGUGGGCACACGCCGUCCCCCAAAUACAGUGGCGGUCCCGCCGCAGCUUCCAUCGCGUAGUAGCUAACACCUCGCGACUGGAGAGCGGCGCGGCCACGCCGUAAAACACCCAACUCUUCUGAAGUUGACCUCGAAUCAGGUAGGAAUACCCGCUGAACUUAAGCAUAUUAAGCGGAGGA